CUCACACUGCAUCUUCCCACCAUUCCAAAAGGAGUUGUAGUCCUGCUUAUGACACAAAAACCUGGUGCUGGGCUAUAGGAAACAGAACAAUGCAAACCUCAAGGGAUUCUGAGAUACAAAGAAUAACAGAACUUCCUCUGUGAUACAGGAAAAGCUUUUAAUGGAAAAGGCUCAAAUGGGAAAUGUAAUAAUAACACAUUCCUAAGGAAAUCUGCCACCUUAGACUGUGUGCCUGAUGAAGAGCAAGUGAACAGCUGAAGCAAAAAUUCAUUUAGAUAUCUUAUUUAAACAUCCCUCUGGAGAAAGAACAAAAAACAAACAAACAAACAAAAAAAGCUACAACAAAAUUGUGGAAAUCAGAAGUGAUUGACUGGGUGAGCUCAACUGUAUUGCUUCUAGGCCAAGG